GUCCAUGCCGUCAACGAUGAGUGUUAAAUGUUGGAGUAAAAUUCAGUGUUAUAGUUAACAUGUUAAACACUCCGCCUGGGGAAUACGAUCGCAAGAUUAAAACUCAAAGGAAUUGGCGGGGAUCUACACAAGCGGUGGGACAUGUGGUUUAAUUCGACAGCCCGCGCAAAACCUUACCAGUUCUUGAUAUGUUUAAUUUUAAAAAUAGAAAUGUUUUUAUUAUAAUUAAAACAGGUGUUGCAUGUCUGUCGU
rnacentral:rRNA from 1 species